GUCGGAGUAAUCCUCUCAAGGUUCACUGUUUGUUUUAUUGGUCACAUUACUACUUGUGUUAUCUAAUUUGUGUUCUUUCUUUUUUUUAAUGCCGGAGUUCGUUUUCAGUUCACUCUAUCGUUAGCCUGAAUGCUAGGGGUUUGAGAAAUCCUACAAAAAGGAAAGCUUUAUUUUUUAUAUUGUAAACGUAGUAGCACAGAUUGUGUCAUUCAGGAAGGAAAGUGAUUUUAAACUUUGGAAAGCACAAUGGGGAGAUAUGGCCUAUUUCAGUCAUGGAUCAAAUCAUUCUGCUGGUGUUUUGACACUUCACAAGUUUAAAGGUGACUUUCUAGAAUCCACAUCUCCACAAGACGGGAUAUGGGUCAUAGUAACUGUUAAACUUGACAAUGCUAUUUUCAUCAUCUGUAAUGUAUACGGACAUAACUCACAUACUCCUAAUAAGACCCCUUUUACCCAAUUUACCAGGAAAGUACAGGAUUUAAGCAACACAUACUCAGAGGCUUUUCUAAUUAUUUCAGGGGAUUUUAAUGAAACACCUGAUGCAUCUGCUGAUCGUUUUCCUCCUAGAACGAGUCAAAGCCCCCAAGAUAGUAACAUUAUCGUUACAUUAUGCAAUGAUCUCUGUGUUGAGGAUGUCUGGCGUUAUUUCAAUCCAAAUGCAAAGGGUUAUACCUGUACCAACAACUAUGUCACGUAAAUCUAGAAUAGAUUUAUUCAUAAUGCCCCUCUUUUUGUUACAAUUUAUAGAUGUAGAUCAUCAGUUGGCUCCCUUUUCUGAUCAUCACUUUGAUUUCCCUGAAUUUACAAGCUACUAAAAAAUCAAAAGGUACUCGAGGUUAUUGGAAAUUAAACAACACACUUCUUAAAGAUACUACUCUCAUUGAAAACAUCAAAUCAUUAGCUAAAUAUAUUUUUGCUAGAAAAGACUUGGGUCAUGGAAGUAGAUGGGAAUUUUUCAAAUAUAAAGUGGCCAUUAAACUCGCCAAAGAGCUGAUGCAAUUUAAAGAGCCUAGAGAAAAGGAGCUGAUGAGCAAGCUUGACAGUUUUCUAAAGAAAUAUUAUCUAUCUGAAGAAGAGGAGUCUGUAUUCAAGUCUUUACAACUAGAAUUAGAACAGAUUUACACAGAUUUGGCAAAGGGUGCCUUUGUAAGGUUAAGAGCAUAAUGGAUUGAAGAGGGGGAAAGAAACACUAGUUACUUUUUUGCACUUGAAAAGAGAAACCACAAAAUAAAAUCUAUAACUGCACUCAAAAUUAACUAUGUUUUAUGCAAAGAUCCCAUUAAAAUAUCAUAAUUUGUCAAUUCCUUUUAUGAAAACCUUUACAGCUCUCAAUUUCAGGAAGAUGGUUGUGAAAGCUACAUUUGCCACAUUCAGAAUUCUGGCCCUGUAAUUGAGGAUGAUUUCCACUCAUUUUGCAAUUCACCUGUGUCAAUUGAAGAAAUUAGAGGCUCUGAAUUCAAAGAAAAAAGGGAAAUCACCUGGCCCUGAUGGCCCUGUCAGUUGAAUUCUAUAGACAGUUUUGGGGGUUACUGGAAGACCCGAUUUUCAAUAUGUUUCAAGAUUGCGUUAAAAAUGGGGAAAUGGUCUCCACUAUGAAACAGGGCCUUAUUUCAUUGAUUCCGAAGCCCGAUAAAGACCCUUCUCUUAGACAAUUGGAGACCAAAUGCUUUAUUAAAUAUUGAUUACAAAUUGAUUGCUCUGGUUUAUGCCAACAGAUUAAAGAAAGGAAUAGAUACCAUUAUAAAUGAGACUCAAACGGGACUUAUGAAGGGCCGUCACAUAAACUCUAACAUUCGUUUAUUCUUGGACAGCAGGACGGUGGCCAUGGAAGUCGGAAUCCGCUAGGAGUGUGUAACAACUCACCUGCUGAAUCAACUAGCCCUGAAAAUGGAUGGCGCUGGAGUGGUGCGUCUCCAUGGUUCUCCUUAACCUUUUAUUUAACUUGGCAAGUCGGUUAAGAACAAAUUUUUAUUUUACAAUGAAGGUCUACCCCAGCCAAACCCUAACCCGGAUGAUGCUGGUGAUUGAGACUGCAUCUCUGUCAAUUAGGUUAGUAUUGUGGAGUAACUACAAUGUUGUUGACAGUGGUGUAAAGUACUUAACUAAAAAUAGUACUACUUUAGUAGCUUUUUUGGGGUAUCUGUACCUGACUAUUUAUAUUUUUGACUACUUUUACUUCACUACAUUCUUUAAAAAAAAUAAAGUACCUUUUACUCCAUACAUUUUUCCUGACACCCAAAAGUACUUGUUACAUUUGUAAAGCUUAGCAGGACAGGAAAAUUGAAAAAUUCACGCACUUAUCAAGAGAACAUCCCUUGACAUCCCAACUACCUCUUGUCUGACGGACUCACUAAACACACAUGCUUUGUUUGUAAAUGAUGGCUGAGUGUUGGAGUGUGCCCCUGGCUAUCUGGAAAAAAGGGGUGUCUGGUUUGCUUAAUAUAAGAAUUUAAAAAAUGAUUAAUACUUUUACAUUUGAUACUUAUAUUUUAGCAAUUACAUUUACUUUUAUACUUAAGUAUAUUUAAAACCAAAUACUGUUAGACAUUUACUCAAGUAGUAUUUUACUGGGUGAAUUUCACUUACUAUUUUCUAUUAAGGUAUCUUUACUUUUACUCAAGUAUGACAAUUGGGUACUUUUCCACCGCUGGUUGUUGAUCCACCCUCAGUUUUCUCUUAUCACAGCUGUACCUGUUUUAAAGUCACCAUUGCCCUUAUGGUCAAAUCCCUGAGCGGUUUCCUUCCUCUCCGGCAACUGAGUUAGGAAAGACGCCUGUAUCUUUGUAGUGACGGGGCUCCCGAGUGGCACAGCGGUCUAGCCGGGGUAGGCCAUCAUUGUAAAUAACAAUUUGUUCUUAACUGACUUGCCUAGUUACAAUAAAGGUUAAAUAAAAAAAUAAGUAUUGUUACACCAUCCAACGUGUAAUUAAUAUCUUCACCAUGUUCAAAGGGAUAUUCAAUGUCUGCUUUUACAUUUUGUACCAUCUACCAAUAGGUGCCCUUCUUUGUGAGGCAUUGGAAGACCUUCCUGGUGUUUUGUGGUUAAAUCUGUGUUUGAAAUUCACUGCUCGACUGAGGGACCUUACAGAUAAUUGUGUGUGUGUGGGAAACAGAGAUGAGGUAGUCAUUAAAAAAUCAUGUUAAACACUAUUAUUGCACACAGAGUGAGUCUAUGCAACUUAUUAUGUGACUUGCACAUUUGUAAUCCUGAAUUUAUUUAGGCUUGCCAUAACAAAGGUGUUGAGUACUUAUUGACUCAAGACAUUUCAGCUUUUCAUUUUUUUAUUAAUUUGUAAGCAUUUUCCAAAAAAACAUAAUUCAACGUUGACAUUGUGGGGUAUUGUGUGUAGGCCAGUGACCAAAAAAAAUCUAAAUUAAAUAAAUUACAAAUUUGCGAUGUGACAACAAAAUGUGGAAGAAGUAAAGGGGUGUGAACUUUCUGAAGACACUGUAGGUAGCUAGCUAUAUUUUGAUCUAGGCAAGCUAAUGUAACUAGCUAGCUAGAUACCUCAUUUGAACGUAGUUAGGUCGUAGCUCAUACAAGUUUAUUGUGUAUUAUCUAGAUACUGCUGGUUAUGUAACGUUAUCAUUUGAUAAUGCUAGCAAGGCUGGUUGGCUACAUGCUAGCUAACGUUUGUUAACUAACUAGCUAAUGUUAGCCUACAAGUCGUAUUUGCAAGUUAUUUUGUAGCUCAUACAGGUGUAUUCCAUUUUGUUUAGGGCAAAACUUAAUAAUGGAUGUAGCUAACUCAUGUCUGACUAAUACAGUGAACUAUUGGUGCUUUCAAGGGAACUGGGAGGGGAAAAAACUAGGUCAAACAUGACGUCAGUGAUCUUCAGAUCGGAAAAUCAGAGCACUUAGAAAAAUGCCUGAGUUUGCAACUUGGAAUUUCGAGUUGGAAUACUGUUCAAAAUUACAUUUCCCAAUCGGAGGUAAUUUUUGUCCACACACUCACUAAUUAAUUUCUGGCUACACCACUGAGGUUAGGCAUAAGGUUAUCUGUGUGGUUAAGGUUAGGUUUAAAAUCACAUUUUAAGAAGAGCAAUUGUAGAAAUAGGCGGCCUAUAUGACUUUGUGGCUGUAAUUAUUGACAACCUAGAAUUAUCUUGACCGAGUUACUGCCCUGAUGACACAGACGGCUUCAUCAACAACGGUAAUGUGUGUUAUGUGAAAAGUUGUAUACAAAAUAAAUAUAUCCAGUUUGAAAAACUCAUUUGAAUUACCCAGCCAAGCAGAUACAAGUAGCAGAGUCAUUUUGGUUGUGAAGUACAUUAUCAAAACACUUAGUCCUUUCUUUAUAACAAUGAAAUGUGUUACUUGGCUGUCUAUUGUAUCACGCUGUCCCAGAUCCUACCAGUCAACACCACCUCGUAAGAUGACAAAGUACAUUGCCUGCUGCAGUUGUUCGAGAGAUGUCCAGUUUCAUGCAACAUAGAAAAGACCAGCAAGGGGACCUUCAAACACACAGACAUGCCCUUCCUGUGAGCAUUCCUAUAAAUGGAACAGUGGGGACACUUUAAUCAGUAUCUUUGAGGGGCCAGGAGCUCAUCUAUGCUGCCAUGCCCAUCAAUGGGGUGCUGGCAAAGCACUUACCUCCAGCCUCACUUCUUGCCUGCUUACUAACGGUCGUCAAUGGAGAGGUAGAUGCAUCUAUUGACCCAGCACUAGGAGACUUGCAAGAUGAUGUGAUGUGAAGUCCAGACUUGACAUACGGGCUUCAUACUGAUGUCUCUAAAUGGAGAGAGACCUGGUACUUGGCAUGAAAAUUUUACUAGACAACUUUUACUGGUUGUCUUUUUUUAUUAUUGAAUUGAAUGGUAUCAGUCAAUAUGGGGAGGGAGAAACCUGAAUCCUGAAUCCUGGUGUAUACAGGACACCAUAUAGGAAGGUAUGACCACUCUGACAUGUUUACCAAGGUAGCCGAAUUAUCACCAGACAAAAUGUUGAUAGGCACAGUAUCUGUAUCGGCAGGGAAUGACAAUGAUUGAUGAAAGGUGCACAUUGUUAUAUCAGCAGAACACUGAUUCUAUGGUUUUAUGUAAAGGAUGUUUAUUCUACAUGGACCUGUUACUACAUUUGCAUGUUAUCAAAACACUUAGUUUAGAAUAUCUACACACAUUAUUUUUAUUUACCUUUAUUUAACUUGGCAUUCUUAUUUACAAUGACGGCCUACCAAAAUGCCUCCUGCGGGGAAGGAGGCUGGAAUUAUUAUUAUUUUUUAAAUUCAACACGCAUCACGACAAGAGAGACAACACUACAUAAAGCGAGACCUAAGACAACAACAUAGCAUGGCAGCAACACAUGACAACAAAGCAUGGUAGCAACACAACAUGACAACAACAUGGUAUCAACACAGCAUUUCAGCAGCACAAAACAAGGUACAAACAUUGGGCACAGACAACAGCACAAAGGGCAAGAAGGUAGAGACAACAAUACUAUCACGUAAAGCACAACUGCCAGUAAAAGUGUCCAUGAUUGAUUCUUUGAAUGAAGAGAUUGAGAUAAAACUGUCCAGUUUGAGUGUUUGUUGCAGCUCGUUCCAGUCGCUAGCUGCAGCAAACUGAAAAGACGAGUAACUCACGGAUGUGUGUGCUUUGGGGACCUUGGUAGAACGGGUGUUGUAUGUGGAGGAUGAGGGCUGCAUUAGAUAUCUCAGAUGGGGUGGGGGAGUGAGGUCUAAGGGUUUUAUAAAUAAGCAUCAACCAGUGGGUCUUGCGACGGGUAUACAGAGAUGACCAGUUUACAGAAGAGUAUAGAGUGCAGUGAUGUGUCCUAUAAGGAGCAUUGGUGGCAAAUCUGAUGGCCGAAUGGUAAAGAACAUCUAGCCGCUCGAGAGCAUCCUUACCUGCCGAUCUAUAAAUUACAUUCCCGUAAUCUAGCAUGGGUAAGAUGGUCAUCUGAAUCAGGGUUAGUUUGGCAGCUGGGGUGAAAGAGGAACGAUUACGAUAGAAGAAACCAAAUCUAGAUUUAACUUUAGCCUGCAGCUUUGAUAUGUGCUGAGAGAAGGACAGUGUACCAUCUAGCCAUACUACCAAGUACGUAUAUGAGGUAACUACCUCAAGUUUUAAACCCGCAGAGGUAGUAAUCACACCUGUGGGAAGAGGGGCAUUCGUCUUACCAAACCACAUGGGGGGGGGCAGAUGAGUAUAAGACCUGUAAAUUCAGCAAUUGCAUUCUUCUCAUAUUACUCUGUAGGCUACUAACCUAUUAAAAUAUUCCUACGGCAUUUCUCACCAUACAUCUGCCUGUUGUUAUUGAACUCCACCUGCAGGAGGUUUGUUUGUUGUGAUUGAGGGGGGGAACCGCUGUGGGCAAGGUUCUGACAGAUAGGUGUGUCUUGGUGGCGGCAAGGACACCCCCAAGAAACACCCACAUCAAACCACACCCCCAAGCCAAAUCACAUUUGGCUUCUGUCAUGGCCGCCAGCAUUUGAGGAGCAAGCCAAAAAACGAGCCCAAAUCAACGGGUGCAGUUCCCCUUUAAGUUCUAUCAUUCGUCAUUCAAUUCUAUUACCUAAUAUAUUUUCAAAACAGCCUUUAUUUUAGGGGCCCAAAUGUAAUUUGAUUGUUAAAAAUGUUGAAGGGGAUUCUCGUGUUUUGUUAUUGUUCAAACUCAUCAUUUUACAUUUUGAUACACACAGAGGCUGGGAGGCCUACUGUUGUGGGAGGCAGAAGGUGGCCCCAUCUUGUGGCAGUUAGUUCUAUGACCACCAGACGGCAUGUGAGCUCUCAUUGUUUUUGUUAACCUGCUUGAUGAUGUACACUGAGUAUACCCCCCUACAAGAUGUCAACAGCGUUCCACAGGGAUGCUGGCCCAUGUUGGCUCCAAUGCUUCCCACAGUUGUGUGAAGUUGGCUGGAUGUCCUUUGGGUGGUGGACUAUUCUUGAUACACAGAGGUCAGGUGUUGAGUGUGAAAAAACCCAGCAGGGUUGCAAUUCCUGACACCGAUGCACCUGGCACCUACUACGAUAUCCAAUAAAUAUGUUGUCUUCCCCAUUCACCCUUAAUGGCACACAAACCAUGUCUCAAUUGUCUCAAGCCUUAAAAAUCAUUCUUUAACCUGUCUAAUCCCCUUCAUCUGCACUGAUUUGAAGUGGAUUUAACAAUUGACAUCAAUAAGGGAUCAUAGCAUUCACCUGGUCAGUCUGUCAUGGGAACAGCAGGUGUUCCUAAUGUUUUGUACACUCAGUGUAUAAUUUACACUUUACAAAUUGACUUUCUGUAAGUAAUUUAUAGUUAAAGAAAACCCUAAAUGACAAAAGCAGGGAAAGACCUCAGCCUGACCUGAAAAUACAGUAUUGUCACAAUCAAUUGAACAGGAAUGCAGACUUGCAUAGGCCUACAUGUGACAUAAUACUUUACAGUCCUAAGGGAAUUGAAAAGCGAUAUAAAUGGUAUCCUUUCUCAAAAUACUACUAUUACAACACUACAAUGGCAUACAAUCAGUUUCACCUACAUACUCUCCCGCCCUGCUCCAGUUUAGCUCUCCAUAAAUGAGUGGGGAUUUUAAUUAAUUUCUGCUCAUGAUCUUGAUCUAAUUAAAGCCUUUGUCCCUGCCAUGUCAUUUUCAUAAGCUGCUCCCUCCAAUUACAUAUAACAACCUAGCCCAUUCAGAUAUUAACCUUCUGUGUGAAGUGUCUCUCCUUCCCUCGACUUAUCUACUUGCGCAUUUAAAAAUAAUACAUUGGGAAACUCCAAGAUAAUUCAACCUUUUGUUUUGAAUUCCACGAUAGAGUUUAGCUAUUGUAUCAUUUAUUUCCCAUUUUUCUCUGACAGACUCUUGUAGAUAAAAGAGAAGUUGGUGUGUCAAUUGUCCUGGUAUAUGUUCCAAACCUGGUAAAUAAAUGUCAUUUUUAAGAAAAACUCUCAAAUUGAUGGCUCAGUCAAAUACCACCAGUCGUCAUUCUGGACAUGUUAACUAUUGAUGUUGUGACCCUCUCUAACCCUGACUCUACGAAACUGAAUGAAGUAAGGUCAACAAGGCCAGGGAAGAUAUGUCAAUUGUAGAUUCAAAAUUGACCCAAAAUAACUCCAGGCUAAAACCAUUGAACCGAGAGGGGUUAUUAUACUUCAAGGUUGACCUGAUUUAUCCAUGCACAAUACAUCAGAACUCAAUCCUUUGAGAGGAGCUAAGAUGACAUGGUGCCCCAUAACAAAAAAGCGUGUCUUAUAUCAUCCACUUUGUGAAAUAUUGGUCCUAAACACACAGACUUUAAUUUCGUGCUGGUUUUAAAAGUACAUUCACUUUGGUCCAGCAGCAGGGCUGGGGUCAGAUGCCAUGCAUGUUUCACUCUCCCAGCAGACCUCCGGGGGCCUGGGGGUUUCAAAGCUUAGUGAGGGUUCAGUGAGUGACUAAAGUGGCUGUAGCAGACCAUGGACAAACAAAGAAACAUUAUCCUGGGUCCCCAUCCACAUUAUUUAUGAAUGAUACACUUUCUCCUUCUCCUGGUUUUGGUGUGAGAUUUGAUUUCAGUGAACACACAUGGUCAUUUAGACAUAAUGCUGUACUUCACUAUCAGCAAUCUCAGGACCAAACUACUAUUAUAACAAAUAGACGCAAGUGUGAAGGUUCAGUGUUGUAGCGAACUUGAGAUAUGACCAGUAAUUCUUAACAGUGGCUAUAAUGUGACAACUUGGUGAGGUACUGCAGUAAAUGAGUCUGAGAAAAAAAUUAUGCCUCUGAGAAAUGCAGCACUGCCUCUUUGAAGAGCUACAAACAUGGAGUUUGUUGUCAUUAUGUUAAACCUGGUUAAUACACUGUGUGGGUCUGAGUGUCCUACCACAGCGCCCUUCCAGCCCAAGCCACAAUUUACUAGGAAAACAAUCUUCAGUUGGAGGGUGUUGUCUGUUGUGGGUCUGCACUUUAUACAAGUCCCCCCUGUGUCUAGAAUUAAUUAAAUUUCGUUAUCUGGGAAAAUAACGUGAGAAAAAGAAAGAAUGGGACUGGAAGGCAAGUAAUGGUUGAUA